rnacentral:lncRNA from 10 species
UGAUGGUUUGUUGGUUUUAAUUCACUCACUGUUGCAGCCGCUGCUGCCUCUAGUCCCUGUUGGCUCGGGUUUGGGCUGACUGGGGCCUCCACAGGUUGCCCUUCCUGAUAGUGAAUGGAAGAAAAGAAGAAGGGGAAAGAAAACAAAAGAGGGAGGGAGUGAAGUGGGGAGACAAAUGGAGGGUACAUGGAAGGAUGAAGAUGGUCAGAAAAGGGAGAAGGAGGGUCUUGUAACUCAGCUGCUCUCCACGGGAGUCAUCAUCUAACAGCCGUUUAAGAGUCAUGCAACAAGAUCGUUUGGGUUUUCCCAGGCAGUGUAAAGUAAGUGCUAUUGGAUACCCAGAAAUUAUGCAUGAUACUGAACAUCUCGCAAAUUUAACUCUGUGUGUGUGUGUGUGUGUGCGCGCGCAGAAUUCAUGGUUUUUUGUUUUUGAGACAGAGUCUCACUCUGUCCCCAUGCUGGAGAAGAAUUAGCCAGGUGUGGUGGCGUACACCUAUAAUCCCAGUGACACAGGAGGCUGAGGCAAAAGAAUUGCUUGAACCUGGGAGGUGGAGGUUGCAGUGAGCCAAGAUCGUACCACUGCACCCCAGCCUGGGGGACAGAGCGAGACUCCGUCUCAAAAAAAGAAAAAGAAAAAGAAAAAGAAUAUAUGGGUUUUGCCAUGUUGCCCAGACUGGUCUUGAACUCCUGACAUCAGGUGAUCUGCCCGCCUUGGCCUCCCAAAGUGCAGGAUGACAGAUGUGAGCCAUUGUGCCAGGCCUUAAACUUUUGAACCUUGAACGGCUCCAAUACCAUCCCCACCAUUCUCUCCAUGAGAAAGAGAAUGGAAAAAUCUAGUACAUUUUGAGACCACAGUUCAUAACUUUUUUUUUUUUUUUUUUUUGUAGAGAUGGGGUCUUUUGCCGUGUUACCCAGGCUUGUCUUGAACUCUUGGGCUCAAGUGAUCCGCCUGCCUUGGCCUCCCAAAGUGCUGGCAUUACAGGUGUGAGCCCCCACACCCAGUCCACAGCUAAUAAUUUUAUGUGAGUUGCACAUCAAGGAAAAAAAGAGACCUCACUUAUUUUGAUGAAAAUUGCUCAAGUUUUUUUCAAGGAUCUUUACUGGAACAGUAAAUUGUUAAAGGACUAAUAUUAAGUCUAAUUUAAGACCAUCAACAUUUUUUUUUUUUUUGAGAUGGAGUCUUGCUCUGUCACCCCGACUGGAGUGCAGUGGUGUUAUCUUGGUUUACUGCAACCUCUGCCUCCUGGGUUCAAGCAAUUCUCCUGCCUCAGCCACCAGAGUAGCUGGGAUUACAGGUGCACGCCACCACACCCGGCUAAUUUUUUGUAUUUUUAGUAGAGACGGAGUUUCACCAUGUGGGCCAGGCUGGUCUUGAACUCCUGACCUCAAGUGAUCUGCCCGCCUCAUCUUCCCAAAGUGCUGGAUUACAAGUGUAAGCCACUGCACCCGGCCAGACCAUGAAAUUUAUUUAUUUAUUUAUUUUUUUUGAGGCAGAGUCUCACUCUGUCGCUCAGGCUGGAGUGCAGUGGUGCCAUCUUGUCUCACUGCGAC